rnacentral:lncRNA from 1 species
AAUGAUCAAUUCAUCAGUAAAAACAUUACUAAACCUAAAAUGAUGAAUAUUGUGGUACUCCAACAAAGGCAAAUCAAACCGUCCGCCUAUUUGAAGCGUUGAAAGUAUAUUUUUGAUACUUCUAAUUUUCCCAUCAUUGAAAGUAAGUCGUUGAGGAAUAUCGAGAAUUUGAGUAGGAAAGGCCAUGGCUUCUUGAUAUACACCAAGGAGCAACAUAGAAAGGAACAAGGCAAAGAAGGAGGGAGCCAUUAAACUUAAUUUAAUUUGAAGAAUAAAAAGAUCAUAAUAUAUAGUCGAUAAAUUAAUUUUGCAUGGAUGUAUGUGUUAGUGUAGGUCAAUUUAUAGUACUCAUAAGAGAUAGUUAGGUGGCUAUAAAGUCUAAAAAGGGGCUCGACUGUGAAGAGGAAUGUACCAUGAUAAAAAAUUUUACUAAUUUUUGGGUAGAGAUAUAGACGGCAAGCAUAAAGUUUUGUAAAGGCUGUUUUGUCUCCCUGUACAAAAUUCGGUGGCGGAUCUAUGGUAUAUACUUUGCGUGCUUAGGCACCCGUUGCCUUUUGAAACAAAAUAAUAUAUAAAAUCUAUUAAAUCAUUGAAGAAUAUUAACUGAGCAUCCACUCUAUGCACGUAUUUCUAAACUAAAAAUAGUUAAAUAUCCAUGAUAUAAAAUUUCUGAAUCCGCCAUUAUGUACAAUGGUGCAAAAAGGGGCUCGCCUAGGAAGAAGAGUGUACCAUAAGAGAAGUUUUGACUAAUCUUUGGGUAGAGAUAAAGAUGGUCAGCAUUAGAGUUUUAUUGUUAUUGAAAUAUUUAAAGAAAGGUUGUAUUUGUUUUCAUGGACAAUGGUCCAAAAACCCAUGGUCCCCUCCCGAGAUCAUAUAUAGUAGUGUUAUAUUUUUUAAAAAUAACUAAAAUAUAGAUGUGUGAACCCACACUUGAAGUAUAAUGUUGAUUUGUUAGCAUUUUAAUAUUAAUAUUUUAAUAUAUUAAUUUGCUUUAUUUUGGAGUUAGAAGAAUGUUGAUUGUUUCAACAGUAAGUGGGCAGUUUCAUUCCUACCUUUGCAUACGUUUGUUGACUUUCAUUUGCAGAACGUGGGGAGUAAUGGCUUUUGGCCGUUGGUGGCACAUAGUGCUGCUUUACUCCAUUUGGACUUACUGUCUGUUAUGUUACAAUUCCAAUUCUUGAAGUAGCUCUUAGCCGUUGGUGGGCUUUGCCAUUACUUCUCCAUUAUUCUUUCUCCAUUAUACCUUGUAACCUAUAUAACUCCUAAGACCAUUUAUCUUCACUAUUUACCACUCAAUUAUCUAUUUCUAAGAAGAUUUCUCUUAGUAUAAAUAAUGGUGGUCUUCAUUUGGUUUGGGAGACAAUACACACAAGAAAAAAUAUAGAGUGCAUAAAGUUUGUCAAAAAGAGAGUUCUUAUUAGUUGAAGGGAGGUGUUCUUUUUUGUGGAGCUUUGGAAACAACUCUUGUCCAGAGUUGUUGAGUUAUAUAUUGUGAUUAGGCUGUUGUAUCCUGGAGGGGACAAGUCAAGAAGAACUACUGCUGGACCGGUGAAAACAUUUGUUGCAGUGGGCUUGAAUCUCCUUAAAGAGAGCGAGAUAUCCGUGCCUCAGCCUGAAGAGAUUUAUUUCUUCAUUUUUAUUUCAAUUGUAAUCUUGUAUUUUUGUUAUCUUGUAAGUUUUCACUAACAUAUAACAUAAUGCGAUUAUAACUGAGUGCACCUCUCUCCGCAAGGUUAGAAAUUUGAAAUUUAUAUUUAUCUUGUUUUAUUUUUCUUUCUAAAAUUAGAUAACACUUCUUUAAGUAGUAAUUGUUGUUAUAAUUUUAAAAUUUAACGAUUUUCAGUAGUAAAAAUUUAAAGAACUAAUCAAAUGUAUAUCAUAGAUCAACCUUUUUAUAACAGUGCACCCAUCAUCUCAAAAUCUUGGAUACGCCUCUGCCAAAAAAGAGCUCGACUGAGAAGAGGAAUGUACCAUAACAGAAGUUUUGACUAAUUUUUGGAUAGAGAUAAUUAAGGACGCCAAGCAUUAAAACUAUGUUGUUGAAAUAUUAAAAGAAAUGUUGUUUUGUCUCUGUAGACAAUGGUCCAAAAAGGGCCUCACAUGGGAAGAGGAAUGUACCCUGAGAAAAGUUUUGACUAAUCUUUGGGUAGAGAUAAGGAUGAUUAGCAUUUGAGUUUUAUUGUUUCAUGGAAAAGUGUUGUGCUGUACCAAAUACCAAUAAACUGAAAAAAAGAAAAGAAUAAAGAUAAGUCAAAUAAAUUUGGAUUGGCUGUUUUAAAUAAAAAUUUAGAUGGGUUUGUAUUUUAGCUCAUUUAAUUAGUGACAUGAACUAUUACUGUUCGCCAUGUGUACAUGGUGGUUGUUGGGUUAUGAAGGGUGAUUAGGGCGUCAUGCGGAAGCAUACAAUUUGCAAAUCAUAUAGUUGAUAAAUCAGAUAACAAAAACUUAUACUAAACCUAAAAUGACGAAUAUUGUGGUACUCCAACAAAGGCAAAUCAAACCGUCCGCCUAUUUGAAGCGUUGAAAGUAUAUUUUUGAUACUUCUAAUUUUCCCAUCGUUGAAAGUAAGUCGUUGAGGAAUAUCGAGAAUUUGAGUAGGAAAGGCCAUGGCUUCUUGAUAUACACCAAGGAGCAACAUAGAAAGGAACAAAGCAAAGAAGGAGGGAGCCA